rnacentral:rRNA from 1 species
UACGAAGGGGGCUAGCGUUGCUCGGAUUGACUGGGCGUAAAGGGCGCGUAGGCGGUUCGUACAGUCAGACGUGAAAUUCCUGGGCUCAACCUGGGGGCUGCGUUUGAUACGUGCGGACUUGAGUGCGGAAGAGGGUCGUGGAAUUCCCAGUGUAGAGGUGAAAUUCGUAGAUAUUGGGAAGAACACCGGUGGCGAAGGCGGUUCUCUGGGCCUGACCUGACGCUGAGGAGCGAAAGCCAGGGGAGCAAACGGG